AAGUCGUAACAAGGUAACCGUAGGUGAACCUGCGGUUGGAUCAUUACUGAAUACUCAUCCGGACGGGGGAAAUGGGGGAGGUUUUGAGAGGGGAAGGAUUAACUUUUUUCCCCUCUCUCUCUCUCUCUCUUUUUUCUUUGUCCGGUAUGAUAUUACACCCCCUUGUGAAUUGUAUUACCGUAAUCUUGGCAGCCCUCCUGUAUAUAUAUAUAUAUCCUUUUUACGGGGAAUGAAAAGAGAAGGUAAAAUGUCUUUUUCCCUCCCCCGUACUAGGUAUGUAUAUAUAUAUAAUGGGCCGUCAGCAUUUUAUAAACACACCUUUAAUUUAUUUUUAUAUCUUGAGUCUCCGAGCGAUUCUUAUUGAGAAACGCGUUUUUAUUAUAAAUUCUAAAAACAACUUUUGACAACGGAUCUCUUGGCUCUC
rnacentral:misc_RNA from 1 species